GCGGGAACCUAGAUGGCCGGCUAAUGGCACAUCAUGCCCAAUCCGCAGAAUCUCCUGCCGGUAUUUUGCGGGCACCACUAGCUGUCGAUUCUGCGGAGGGGUAUUCGGCUUCUGGGGCGGUUUCGGGAUCCUGUAUAGUCUAUCCCCCACCCACUCGUAGUGCUCCCCAUCUACUCCUUCUCCCCCAGAAUCGGCCCUGGCCCUGUACUUGGCUAGCGUCGGGUCUUCCCUGGUUUCCUUCCCGUACAUCUCUGGGGUAUCCCAGCCUAAAGGGGCCUGGUCUAAGGUACAAGUCGGGGGAGAGAGUCUUACCUGGGUCUCAGCAGCAGGUGGGCCGGUCUCGGCGGCACGGGUCUGGGCACGGGUCGUGACAGCAUCCACUUCAGCAGGACCCAUGGGAGCAAAGGCGGAAACAAGGGGCGCCAAGUCAUUGCCAAGGAGAACAUCCGCUGGUAAGUCCUUCAUGACCCCCACAUUCACAUGUCUAGCGCCCACUCCCCAAUCCAAAUGUACCCGGGCAACGGGCAGACGGAACACGGCACCUCCAGCUACUCGUACGGCGACCGUGUCCCCUGUAUGUUGGGCUUCGGAUACCAGGUGCUUCUGGAGCAAGGUCAUGGUUGUCCUGGUAUCUCGUAGACCACUGACCUCCUUCCCGUUUACUUUCACACACUGCCGGUGAUGCUGUCGGUUAUCCCGGUGGGCAGCCUGAACGGGGUCUGCCUCGUGCAGGAUGCCCCAGCACUCUUCUUCCUCUACACAGUGAGCGGCCGGGAGGGGAGGUCGGGGACACCCGCUUGCUGGUCUCCUCCAGGACUGGUUCUGGUUGGCGCCGUUCAUCGGGCACUCGGGACGUUUGUGCCCCAGCUGUUUGCACAGGUAGCACCGAAUGGGUUGCGUGUACUCCCGUGCAUUAAACCUAGGUGGCUGUUGGUACGGGGCAGAUGGAGGAGGUGCUGAUGGGCGAGUCAUGGGAGGCUGGUAUAGGUUGGCUGGUGCUGGUGCUGCUGGCCUGUACUCCACUCUGGCGGGAGCCUUACUGAUGAGACUGUCCAGUUUGCGGGCAUCGGUAUACUCAUCCGCCAGGCGAGCUGCUUCGUGCAAAGUGGAGUGUUUACGGUCCCUUACCCACUCUCUGACCCCUGCUGGUAAUUUGUCAAAACAAUGUUCUAAGAGGAACAUCUGCAGCACCUCUUCCCCGGACACAGCCUGGCACCCCGCCAUCCAGUGAGCAGCUGUGCGGUGCACCUUGCAUGCCCAUUCCACAUAUGAGUCCCCAGAGGUUUUAACAGUGUCUCGGAACCUCCUCCGGUACGCCUCAGGUGUAACAGCAUACCGGGAGAGUAAAGCUUCCCUGAUGGCCCCAUAAUCCCCAAUCUCCUCAUCCGGAAUGGCCCGAAAAGACUCGCUGGCCCGGCCGGAUAACUUGCCCGACAGUAUAGUAACCCAGUCUUCCAGGGGUACCUUGUGCAGGGCACAUUGCCGCUCAAAAUCAGCAAGGUACCCAUCAAUUUCUCCUUCGGUCUCACUGAAGGCUUUAAAUGCUGUAAAUGGUACCUUUUUCCUAUCUCCCGGGUUUGCUGUGACUGGGGCUGCUGCAGCACCGCUUUGGCAUAGCAGGUUGGCCUCCACAGCGGCUAUGACCUGGGUGACAGGCUCAGUAGUUGGGUUGGGACCAUAAUGGGCCAGCCUGAUUCUUACCGCCCGGUCGAAGCUUGCCUCCUCGGGGGUUCUGUCAGCUGUGCUGGGUUCAUUGGUUCCCUCUGCCGCUGGUACUCCAUCCAUUUCCAGUAAUAGCGCAAUAAUAUCCCUCUUCCUGAGGUUACUGGCUUGUCCGCCUCUUUGCUCUAAUAAAUCCUUUAGGGUAGCUCUUCUCAGGUUCUGGUAUUGUAGUUCCAUUUAAUCCUGGUUGUAGUGGUUUCUUUGGGCGCUGAGGAUCAUCCCGUCGCUUGCCACCAGUUGUUACGGUACCUCCAGUAGUAAAAUGUACAAACCGCUGUUUAGCGAGUAUUCCCCGUUCGCAAUAAUGUGGUCGGGUAGCGGGUAUAAUAAAACCAUCCGAACCGCCAGCCAGGGAACACUCCAAACUCCCGAACGGUACCUGUACGGCUAACUCCCUUCUCGAGCUGCAAAUCCACGAACGGCAAAUAGUAACCGAACGUCAAUAACUCCCAAGCGGCAAAUAAUCCAAAUAAGUAGUCGCUAGUCGCUGGUAACCAAAUCCCCCCAAUAACGAGACCAAGCUCCGCUUUGAGGGUAAAACACGAACUCAUUUACUGUGGGCUACCUGCCUGGUAUUUAUGCAGGUCUCCCACUUGGUGGACACUCCCCUAGAGGACCAAAUGGGAGACUGAAAUUACAGAAGGACAUGGGGACAUUUUGGACAUACAUCCCCACAAUAUUCCCAGCAUGCAGUACAGUUCCCUCCCCUCUGCUCGGGGGAUAAUUGGGAAGUAACUCAAUUAUCUCCCCGAGCAGAGGCAAUCGCCAUUUUAAACACAAGUCACAAAAACAAGGGGCGCCAAGUCAUUGCCAAGGAGAACAUCCGCUGAAAAUCCAUAACUUCAUAACUGCCGAACAUAUUACAUUCGUAUUGCAUAUCCCCAGAUAGCCUGGAUCUGAGUGCACAUUAUUGGAGAAUAGCGCUCAGAUCCCAUUCGCAUAGUUCAAUCGCCAUGGAGUCAAAGUCUCUUUCAGUUCUUCAGUAUGCGAUUGACUCCAUGGGACGGCUAUCUGGGUUAAGUCCAUUCGUGUGGUUGAAUCUCCCGAACGGCUGGCAUUCGUAUACUUUUGUCGAUUGAGAAGGGGAGGUCGACGGCUUCAGCGGUGUUCGGCUGAAAAAGUGUCCGUUUUCAGAUCCAUGAAAUAAUCGUCGAACACCGCUGGUCUUUCGCAUGGACAAAAUGGCCGCCGCCUCGUGGUCGACAUACGAACGACGACCACCCGGCAUUCGGUUUUAAUUGAGAAGUGUCUGUGGUUAACCGCAACGUUCUUAUUGGGAUCAAUAGGUUAACCAGCAGCACACUUCUCUUCUGGGUAGCCGUCCGUUCGGUAGUUCCGUUCGACAAAACCGACAUUCCCUUGAAUAAAGCAUACGAAUGGGGAAAUUCAUGUAACCGGCAAAACAGGCGAACAAAGCAUUUGUAAUCCAGACAGAUGGGUCUGUCACAGUUAUGUAUUUAAAUGUGAAAUGCCGGUUCUGCUGCACGGAGGGAUAAUACACUUAACGGUAUAUUCCAGUGGGAGGAUCCCUCUCAUGCAGCAGUGCCUGAUGGGAGAAAUGCUCUGUACAUUGUUUCCCAUGUAGUCCACUCCUGUAAUACCCCUGUGAAAACCCCUUGCAUGGGGAAUUGUAUAAAUACUGGAGCAUGUGAAUAGUUGACUCCCAGAACUGUGUUUCAUCCGGAUACUGGGGGAUUUGGGAUAUUGCCUUGCUUUUCAGCACUUGACUGUGGAUUACCUUCUUAACCAGUGGAGAUCGUGGGAUUUAAUAUUGCAGCUCUGCUACAUACAGCACAGACCCCCAAAAAUAAAUUGCACAGUCCCAGUGGUGUCGCUGGGGGGGGCAGAGGGGGCCAUGGCCUCCCUAUAUCAUGUCAUCCCUUUGGCCCCCCAAAUGCCAGCAACUUGCUGGCCAUGGGCUUCAAUUAUAUUCCCUCGGACUGUAACUGUGUGUGACAGCCCGAGGGAAUUCAGGACUGAGGUGCUGGGGCUGUCUGUGGCUGGAGGGAGCACUGACAGGCUCCCUGGCACAGGCCCCGCCCCCAUCGUUAUGCAGCAGACCAUGCUGCUGCAGAAGAUGGCUGCCUGACCCCCAGCAACAGCCUCCAGUGACAGGUAGGCGUGUGUGUGUAUGUGUGUAUGUAUGUAUGGACAUGGCAGUGUGUGUGUGUGUGUGUGUGUGUGUGCCCCCCAUACACACACACUGCCCCCCCACACACACACUGCCCCCAUACACACACACUGCAGCCCCACACUCACACACACACACUGCAACUGUUACACACACAUACUGUCCCACACAUAUACUGCAUCCCUGACAUACACUGCCGCCCUCACUCAC